rnacentral:rRNA from 1 species
GACGAACCGAGCGAACGUUAUUCGGAAUCAUUGGGCUUAAAGGGCGCGUAGGCGGGCGGCCAAGUCCGGGGUGAAAGCCUCCAGCUCAACUGGAGAAGUGCCUCGGAUACUGGCCGUCUCGAGGGAGAUAGGGGCGUGCGGAACUUCCGGUGGAGCGGUGAAAUGCGUAGAUAUCGGAAGGAACACCGGUGGCGAAAGCGGCGCGCUGGAUCUCUUCUGACGCUGAGGCGCGAAAGCCAGGGGAGCAAACGCG